UCAAAGAUUAUUGAGAGUGGCCUCAAAAAGACAGCUCCCCCAGCAGUCAGGAGUGCAUCCCGUCUGGGCCCAUGGGCUGAUGUAGGUCCACUUUGCUUAAAUAUUCCUGGACCCGAUCCUCUCAUACUAUGGAUACAUCUUUAUUGCUCAAAGUUAAGUCCUUACCUCUUGUAUUUGGGAUUUUUCCUGACCUUUCAUUUUAUCACUAUCCCUUGGCAUUUUACAGAUGUUCAAAGAGUAUCUCAGGAAUGUGAAGAGAACUCCUUCCUUCAUGAACUCUGUUUUCCUCUCACACAGUUCUGGAUGCUUAGUAGAGAAGUAGAGCCAUGUGGGAGCAGUUCUUGAAGAGCUGCAGCCCGUGGGAAGGCCACGUGGGAUCAGUCCGGGCUGGUUUUACUGGCCAGCUCUACAAAGCCUGCCCUUCUCAAUGGCUUCAUGGAUGAUGUCCAUCACCUGCCCUGCACAGCAUUUCUGAGUAGCAAGAUCUCUCCCUGGAGGAACAGUCAGGCCAGGAAGGACAACUAACAAGCCUCAUUCUGCUCCCAAGAACCUGACUGAGCUGAAAAAGACUGGCAGUCUUGAAAAUCAGCCUGGUCUUAUAUGAGUAUAACAAACCUGGGAGCCCUAGACCUGCUCUAAGCAAGGAGAGACAGAGUCCUUCUUGGGAAAUGGACUUGGCAUUGAUAAAAACUGGUGGAAGAAGCUAGAGCAGAACACAGGUCACCCAGAAGUCACCUAUUGGAGAUGGCAAGGCGGACAAGAGGGGUAGGGACAGGCAGCAGUUUGGGCAUCUGUCCAUUUAUAAUUGUAGAAGUGAAGCAGGUUUGAGCCAUGGUUGUGAGAACCUGAAUAGUCCCAUCAUGAAGAGGGUACUUAGUGGUCUUCCUUUGAGGUACACGUAACAUCCUUCUGGUGGAAGAACAGCGAAUUUGAAAGCAGUGCAACCGUUCCUUUAGGAGUUCAGCUGCUUCUCAUCCAAGGCCAACUUUGAUGUAGCACAGCCGAGUGAAUUUCAUUCAGUUUUAUCAAAAACAUCAUCAAGAUUUGAAAAAAAAAAUGCAUAACUAAGCUUUACCACUUAAGGAAAAAACAAAACAACAAAAUGCAGAAGUGAGGCUAUUGAGAUCCUAGCAGUUAGAAGCGUAAUGAUUAAAGGAGAGUUCUGAUAUGAAAUGUAAAAAAUUCUAAAAAACAAAUCAGGAGAUUAGAGACAGCAACUCAGCAACACAGGAUCUCUGUUCCACCGAGUGAUGGAAGGCAGCCUCUCGCCACGUGACUGAUGACUUCCCAAAAAGCAGAGUCAGAAGGUAUCUCAUCUGGGACAGAGAGCAUUUUGCUUAGCCCAGUAGUUCAAUAGUCCUGGCUACGUGUUUGUUAUGUACUGGCCAACAAGUAAUUGGGUUUUGCUCUUCAACUGUGUUUAUCCCAUUUGAAGAGUUUCUACUUAGAUGGUAAAAGCUACCUGAACAAAACAACCUCUGACACCCUCAUCCGGGCACUAUAAAACUCAGUAUCUUCAAGGAGGUGACAUAAAAGUUUAUAAGUACUAGUAAAUUAAGCUUGGAACUUCAGAGGAACAUAUUCAGCUCUCAGCUCCACAUGAGUAUUUAGCCUAGGAGAACUUUUUCUAGUUUUUAAAGAUUCACAAGUAAUUGGAGCUCCUGAUGAAAAAAAUGUGAGUAGAUGACAGAAAAGACAGAAAAGAAACAGAGAAGAUAGCUGGUAGUGAAAGAUACAGAACCGAGUGGAAGAACUUAUCCGCACCUUGAGAUGAUGAAUAUUCAGCAUAUUUUAUCAUGCAUACCUAAAGGCUAAAGAGACACUCUUUGGUUCAUCAAAAAAUAAAAAUAAAAGAUCUGCUAAAUGCA
rnacentral:lncRNA from 1 species